CAGUAGCCGCGGUAAUACAGAGGGUGCGAGCGUUAAUCGGAUUUACUGGGCGUAAAGCGUGCGUAGGCGGCUUCUUAAGUCGGAUGUGAAAUCCCUGAGCUUAACUUAGGAAUUGCAUUCGAUACUGGGAAGCUAGAGUAUGGGAGAGGAUGGUAGAAUUCCAGGUGUAGCGGUGAAAUGCGUAGAGAUCUGGAGGAAUACCAAUGGCGAAGGCAGCCAUCUGGCCUAAUACUGACGCUGAGGUACGAAAGCAUGGGGAGCAAACAGGAUUAGAUACCCCGGUAGUCCCUGUCUCUUAUAC
rnacentral:rRNA from 1 species